rnacentral:rRNA from 1 species
CGCUACACAUGCAGUCGAACGAGAAAGCCGGGGCAACCUGGUGAGUACAGUGGCAUACGGGUGAGUAACACGUGGAUGAUCCGCUCCUUGGUGGGGAAUAACCCUGGGAAACCGGGGCUAAUACCGCAUAAGUCCGAGAGGAGAAAGGCGAAAGUCGCCGAGGAAGGGGUCCGCGGCCGAUUAGCUAGUUGGUAGGGUAAAGGCCUACCAAGGCGAUGAUCGGUAGCCGGCCUGAGAGGGCACACGGCCACACUGGCACUGAGACACGGGCCAGACUCCUACGGGAGGCAGCAGUGGGGAAUCUUGCACAAUGGGGGAAACCCUGAUGCAGCGACGCCGCGUGAGCGAUGAAGCCCUUCGGGGUGUAAAGCUCUUUCGACAGGAACGAUAAUGACGGUACCUGGAGAAGAAGCUGCGGCUAACUACGUGCCAGCAGCCGCGGUAAUACGUAGGCAGCGAGCGUUGUUCGGAGUUACUGGGCGUAAAGAGUAUGUAGGCGGUUCGCUGUGUCUGGUGUGAAAUCUCCUGGCUUAACUGGGAGGGUGCGCCGGAAACUGGCGAGCUAGAGUACGGGAGAGGGAAGCGGAAUUCCUGGUGUAGCGGUGAAAUGCGUAGAUAUCAGGAGGAACACCUGUGGUGUAGACGGCUUCCUGGACCGUGACUGACGCUGAGAUACGAAAGCGUGGGGAGCAAACAGGAUUAGAUACCCUGGUAGUCCACGCCCUAAACGAUGCGGACUUGGUGUAGGCAGUUCAGUCUGUCUGUGCCGGAGCUAACGCG